UCCUACGGGAGGCAGCAGUGGGGAAUAUUGCACAAUGGGGGAAACCCUGAUGCAGCGACGCCGCGUGAGUGAAGAAGUAUUUCGGUAUGUAAAGCUCUAUCAGCAGGGAAGAAAAUGACGGUACCUGACUAAGAAGCCCCGGCUAACUACGUGCCGGCAGCCGCGGUAAUACGUAGGGGGCAAGCGUUAUCCGGAUUUCCUGGGUGUAAAGGGAGCGUAGACGGGAGAGCAAGUCUGAAGUGAAAGCCCGCGGCCAAACUGCGGGACGGCUGUGGAAAGUGCCCGGCUAGAGAGCUGGAGAGGUA
rnacentral:rRNA from 1 species